CAUGCUAGCCGGGGAGGUAGCGGUGCCCUGUACCCACAGUCCGCUGUAGUGGGGGUGAUGUCCGUUCUGCGGAUGGCAGUUCUUUAUGGCUGCCCCGGGGAGAAGGCGUUGACAGACUGAGUCUUGUGCAAUAGGAACCUGCGAACCGUGUCAGAUCCGGAAGGAAGCAGCACUAAACAGUCAUUUCUAUGUGCCACGAGGUCGCUUGGUCCGAGUCUUUGAGCCGGGU
rnacentral:SRP_RNA from 1 species